rnacentral:rRNA from 1 species
AACGAACGCUGGCGGCAUGCCUAACACAUGCAAGUCGAACGAGACCUUCGGGUCUAGUGGCGCACGGGUGCGUAACGCGUGGGAACCUGCCCUUAGGUUCGGAAUAACUCCCCGAAAGGGGUGCUAAUACCGGAUAAUGUCUUCGGACCAAAGAUUUAUCGCCUUUGGAUGGGCCCGCGUUGGAUUAGCUAGUUGGUAGGGUAAAAGCCUACCAAGGCGACGAUCCAUAGCUGGUCGGAGAGGAUGAUCAGCCACACUGGGACUGAGACACGGCCCAGACUCCUACGGGAGGCAGCAGUGGGGAAUAUUGGACCAUGGGCGCAGGCCUGAUCCAGCAAUGCCGCGUGAGUGAUGAAGGCCUUAGGGUUGUAAAGCUCUUCUACCCGGGAUGAUAAUGACGGUACCGGGAGAAUAAGCACCGGCUAACUCCGUG